GACGUAGGAGGCGAGCGUUGUCCGGAUUCAUUGGGCGUAAAGAGCACGCAGGCGGUUUGGCAAGUCGGGUGUGAAAUCUCAGAGCUCAACUCUGAAACUGCACUCGAUACUGCUUUGCUCGAGGACUGGAGAGGAGAUUGGAAUUCACGGUGUAGCAGUGAAAUGCGUAGAUAUCGUGAGGAAGACCAGUGGCGAAGGCGGAUCUCUGGACAGUUCCUGACGCUGAGGCGCGAAGGCCAGGGGAGCAAACGGG
rnacentral:rRNA from 1 species